CAGCGUCCAGCGCUUCUGAUAAAUUUUGAGGAGGCGGGCCCCGAGCGUUCUGCCCGGGGAUGUACAAGGGCGUGGCAGCCCGUGGAGUAACGCGUGGUUAUGGUUGAAGUUCAAGUUCGACUUUGAUUCUUCACAGCUUUCUCAAAUCAUUGCAAUGGUACAGAUUUGUGAGACCAAUUUGGAUAGAUUUAAGCUGAGAGGGGGGAAAAAACCUGCUUCUGAUUUACAGGUUAUGAAUAUAAGAAUUGAAAGUUGGUACUUCAGUUGCCUAGGCAACACUGCAGAGGAAAAGAUCAGCACUCUGGAUUUACUACAAGUAUGCUUAGAUGAUCCUCUUAGGUGCAGCAAUUCUCAUCAAGAAUACAGUUUAUUUUACAAUCUCCACAUUAGGAAGUUCAAUUUGGGCAAGGUCACAUCACGCAACAGAUGCCAGUAUUGAGCUAAGACAGCACCUGCUUAGCUUCCAAACGCUCACAAGUCAGCAAAGCGCUGUGGCUUAAGUUAAUAGUAAUCUGCUUUUCCCGGAAGGAAGGUGGUGAGGAAGCAGAGAAAUGAUCUGGUUUCAUGAGAUCUUUCAGGACUUGACAAAAUAAGCAGUGCAGUAUACCUGAUAGUUCCCUUUCUUAAGCUGACUCCUUGGAUCACUGGUCAUAAUACCUGGGAUGAUGGGAACUGUGGUCCAACACAUGAAGGCAACAUUAGAGAUGGCUAAGCUAUAGCAAUAUAUUUCCUCAAUAAAGAUAUCUUUUGCCAGCAAACA